rnacentral:rRNA from 1 species
UUUAUGGAGAGUUUGAUCCUGGCUCAGGAUAAACGCUGGCGGCGUGCCUAAUACAUGCAAGUCGAGCGAACGGACGAGAAGCUUGCUUCUCUGAUGUUAGCGGCGGACGGGUGAGUAACACGUGGAUAACCUACCUAUAAGACUGGGAUAACUUCGGGAAACCGGAGCUAAUACCGGAUAAUAUUUUGAACCGCAUGGUUCAAAAGUGAAAGACGGUCUUGCUGUCACU